CUUCUUCAUAUUUUUCAGCUUUCCUGCUCCUCUGAUGUGGCUUGGCCUGACGUGUUCAUCCAGCUCUACACCUUCUCCAGCAUCUCCAGCAUCUGCGGUUCCUGCUAUCUCAGAGAUUCUGCCACUUUCAAUGGAAAUGAGAGAGUGUAAGAUUAAUUUUGCCAUCAGAAAACCAUGGAUUCUAUCCCAAGUUGUCAAAGAUUCUCCAUCAUCGGCAGUUCCUACUAUCUCUGAUCCAAAGGCUGUAUGUUUGGCUGAAACUGUGAUGACACUAAAAACAUCCACAGCUGCGAAGACAAUGAAGUUGAUAGAACAAACAGGAAACUGUGGCAUAGAGUGGAAAAGCAGGGCCACGAAGAGGUGGGAGAACGUAGCAUUGACUUUCUCAUCCUUUCUGCAAAAAGAAGGUGGU